rnacentral:rRNA from 1 species
AUUGAACGCUGGCGGCAUGCCUUACACAUGCAAGUCGAACGGCAGCGGACCUUCGGGUGCCGGCGAGUGGCGAACGGGUGAGUAAGAUAUCGGAACGUACCUUUCAGUGGGGGAUAACGUAGCGAAAGUUACGCUAAUACCGCAUAUUCUGUGAGCAGGAAAGCAGGGGAUCGCAAGACCUUGCGCUGAUUGAGCGGCCGAUAUCAGAUUAGCUAGUUGGUGAGGUAAAGGCUCACCAAGGCGACGAUCUGUAGCGGGUCUGAGAGGAUGAUCCGCCACACUGGAACUGAGACACGGUCCAGACUCCUACGGGAGGCAGCAGUGGGGAAUUUUGGACAAUGGGCGCAAGCCUGAUCCAGCCAUGCCGCGUGAGUGAAGAAGGCC